AGAAGAUGGUGGCACUGUCAGUCAAGAGGAGGAAGACAGAAAACCUAAAGCAGAGGAGGUGGCUUCAUGUGGCACUUGGGCAUUCAUAUUCCACUUGGGAGGGUCAGGCUGUGGCCUUCUGGAGCAGGUGGCUUGUUAAGGAACGCUAGCAGGGCAUGGCACGUGAGCUCCGGAAUAGAUGUCUUCAUCACUUCUUCCACUGUGUGUUGACACUGUUUUCCUUACCUAUUUCCUCAAAUCCCCAGCUUUCUCCUCUGCUAUGCAUUUUCUUCACAGUGCAGCUUGCAGUCCGUUGCUGAAAAUGAUUAUAAGCCCUGCAUAAUGUUAAGCUUUAUUGUGAUUACG
rnacentral:sRNA from 1 species